UUGGGCAGAAGGAUCCUCCUUGGAUCAUCACUGAUUCACUGCUUCCAUUCUCUUCAGAGGCACUAUAAAAGAAAUCGAGGGCACCAUCUACUCGAAAAGGAGGAGUCCAGAAAACUGCCACACUGCCUGAUGUAUUUUCCUUCUCACCUCAGGAGUGUCUACUACAUAAUUGGCAAUAAAUUGUUAUUACUUCCCACUAUAGCAAA